rnacentral:rRNA from 1 species
GUGGGGAAUAUUGGGCAAUGGGGGCAACCCUGACCCAGCGACGCCGCGUGGGUGAAGAAAUCCCUCGGGAUGUAAAGCCCUGUUGUAUGGGAAGAGCAGAAGACGGUACCAUGGGAGGAAGCCCCGGCUAACUACGUGCCAGCAGCCGCGGUAAGACGUAGGGGGCAAGCGUUGUCCGGAAUUACUGGGCGUAAAGGGUGCGUAGGCGGCAAUGCAAGUCUAAUGUGAAAUCCCCGUGCGUAACAUGGGGAUUGCAAUAGAAACUGUAUAGCUAGAGUGCAGGAGAGGUAAGUGGAAUUCCUAGUGUAGCGGUGAAAUGCAUAGAUAUUAGGAGGAACACCAGUGGCGAAGGCGACUUACUGGACUGUAACUGACGCUGAAGCACGAAAGCGUGGGGAGCGAACAGGAUUAGAUACCCUAGUAGUCC